UCCAAUGUGGUGUAAUGGCUAACAUUGCUGUCUUUCAUUGCUGACUUUCAUUACCCCAGUUGUAAGCAUUUAUUCACAGCAGCCCGGGGUUCGAUUCCCCGCAUUGGAA